rnacentral:lncRNA from 1 species
CUGGUCAUCAUUAGCUCGGAAUGUAGCAUGCAUUCCUUCUCUGUUGAGUUCCAUGCAAGUCUACUACAAUCUUCAAAUUGAGAGCAAGUGCUCGCACAUUCAAUUAACGAAAUCCCUUUUACUGUUAAAAAGAAGGAAUUUGUUAAAUUACAUGUAUGCAUCAUUUUCUUAUAUGUAACAAAUAACGAGUACGCCGAACAAAACUUAAG